UUUAUCUUCUUUUUCGCCGAA
rnacentral:piRNA from 1 species